rnacentral:rRNA from 1 species
CUAACACAUGCAAGUCGAACGGCAGCGCGGGGAAGCUUGCUUCCCUGGCGCGAGUGGCGGACGGGUGAGUAAUACGUAGGAAUCUGCCCAGUAGUGGGGACAACCCGGGGAAACUCGGGCUAAUACCGCAUACGUCCUCCUUUCACACGAUGGGAGGGGAAAGCGGGGGACCUUCGGGCCUCGCGCUAUUGGAGGACCUACGGCGGAUUAGCUUGUUGGUAGGGUAACGGCCUACCAAGGCGACGUCCGUAGCUGGUCUGAGAGGACGACCAGCCACACUGGGACCGAGACACGUCCACACUCCUACGGGAGGCAGCACUGGGGAAUAUUGGACAAUGGGCCAAGCCUUAUCCAUGCAUUGGCCGGUGUGGUGAAGAAGGCCUCUCCGGUUCAAAGCAUU